rnacentral:tRNA from 1 species
GGAGGAUUAGCUCAGCUGGGAGAGCAUCUGCCUUACAAGCAGAGGGUCGGCGGUUCGAUCGGCGGUUCGAUUCCGUCCUGACCCAUCA